GUUUGCUUGGCAUAGUAGUAAUCACGUCGGCUCGUCGUGCCUAAGCGCGGGUUCGAUUCUCGUAGAGAGAG